UGAGGAAUAUUGGUCAAUGGACGAGAGUCUGAACCAGCCAAGUAGCGUGAAGGAUGACUGCCCUAUGGGUUGUAAACUUCUUUUAUACGGGAAUAAAGUGAGGCACGUGUGCCUUUUUGUAUGUACCGUAUGAAUAAGGAUCGGCUAACUCCGUGCCAGCAGCCGCGGUAAUACGGAGGAUUCAAGCGUUAUCCGGAUUUAUUGGGUUUAAAGGGUGCGUAGGCGGUUUGAUAAGUUAGAGGUGAAAUUUCGGGGCUCAACCCUGAACGUGCCUCUAAUACUGUUGAGCUAGAGAGUAGUUGCGGUAGGCGGAAUGUAUGGUGUAGCGGUGAAAUGCUUAGAGAUCAUACAGAACACCGAUUGCAAAGGCAGCUUACCAAACUAUAUCUGACGUUGAGGCACGAAAGCGUGGGGAGCAAACAGGAUUAGAUACCCUGGUAGUCCACGCAGUAAACGAUGAUAACUCGUUGUCGGCGAUACACAGUCGGUGACUAAGCGAAAGCGAUAAGUUAUCCACCUGGGGAGUACGUUCGCAAGAAUGAAACUCAAAGGAAUUGACGGGGGCCCGCACAAGCGGAGGAACAUGUGGUUUAAUUCGAUGAUACGCGAGGAACCUUACCCGGGCUUGAAAGUUAGCGACGAUUCUUGAAAGAGGAUUUCCCUUCGGGGCGCGAAACUAGGUGCUGCAUGGUUGUCGUCAGCUCGUGCCGUGAGGUGUCGGGUUAAGUCCCAUAACGAGCGCAACCCCUACCGUUAGUUGCCAUCAGGUGAAGCUGGGCACUCUGGCGGGACUGCCGGUGUAAGCCGAGAGGAAGGUGGGGAUGACGUCAAAUCAGCACGGCCCUUACGUCCGGGGCUACACACGUGUUACAAUGGUAGGUACAGAGGGCAGCUACCCAGCGAUGGGAUGCGAAUCUCGAAAGCCUAUCUCAGUUCGGAUUGGAGGCUGAAACCCGCCUCCAUGAAGUUGGAUUCGCUAGUAAUCGCGCAUCAGCCAUGGCGCGGUGAAUACGUUCCC
rnacentral:rRNA from 1 species